GAAAUGACCGCAGGAGAGAGAGAUGGGGUGGGAUCAGGAAAUGACCGCAGGUUGGAUUCAAACCUGCAUCCCCGGGAACACUCGGGCCUGUAUAUGCUAUGAGCAUUGUAGCCUGCUGCGCCACAGCGCCUCCUAGAGGUUACCUGUUACCUGGUUGGAGCUCUUCCGUCACCUAAACUUUGCUUCAUGUGUUGCCCAGGCAGGUCAAUAUUGGGUUCACUAUACUAUAGCUGCUGUUGCUAUAGGCAGGUCAAUAUUGGGUUCACUACUGCUGUUGCUAUAGGCAGGUCAAUAUGCUGUGACUAUAGGCAGGUCAAUAUUGGGUUCACUAUAGUGGCUAUAGGCAGGUCAGUAUUGGGUUCACUAUAGCUGCUGCUGUUGCUAUAGGCAGGUCAAUAUUGGGUUCACUACUGCUGUGACUAUAGGCAGGUCAGUAUUGGGUUCACUAUAGCUGUGACUAUAGGCAGGUCAGUAUUGGGUUCACUGUAGCUGCUGCUGUUGCUAUAGGCAGGUCAAUAUUGGGUUCACUAUAGUGGCUAUAGGCAGGUCAGUAUUGGGUUCACUAUAGUGGCUAUAGGCAGGUCAAUAUUGGGUUCACUAUAGUGGCUAUAGGCAGGUCAGUAUUGGGUUCACUAUAGCUGCUGCUGUUGCUAUAGGCAGGUCAAUAUUGGGUUCACUAUAGUGGCUAUAGGCAGGUCAAUAUUGGGUUCACUAUAGCUGUGACUAUAGGCAGGUCAAUAUUGGGUUCACUAUAGCUGCUGCUGUUGCUAUAGGCAGGUCAAUAUUGGGUUCACUAUAGCUGCUGCUGUUGCUAUAGGCAGGUCAAUAUGCUGUGGCUAUAGGCAGGUCAAUAUUGGGUUCACUAUAGUGGCUAUAGGCAGGUCAAUAUUGGGUCCACUAUAGCUGCUGCUGUUGCUAUAGGCAGGUCAAUAUUGGGUUCACUAUAGCUGCUGCUGUUGCUAUAGGCAGGUCAAUAUGCUGUGGCUAUAGGCAGGUCAAUAUUGGGUUCACUAUAGUGGCUAUAGGCAGGUCAAUAUUGGGUCCACUAUAGCUGCUGCUGUUGCUAUAGGCAGGUCAAUAUUGGGUUCACUAUAGUGGCUAUAGGCAGGUCAAUAUUGGGUUCACCUCAAAAAAAUGAUGCAAAAGGUUUUUUUUAUGGAUGCUGGUUGGACAUGGCUAAAUAACAUACUAAAAAUCUAGUCAAAUCUGACCUUGGGAAAGGGGUCAUUUUUGAGAUGGCCGCCAAAAUGGAGGUAAGAAUGGCUACAGUAUCUCAAUUACUAUUCAGCCUACAGGGGUGAAAUUGUGUCAAAUGAUGGUCAUAUGAAACAAGAAUAUGAUUUUAAAUGUUGACAUUGAAAAUGUUUCAAUGCCCUACGUUUUUCAGCCAUAUAUUAAAAUCAAUGCAUUUUAAUACAGAGCAAAUGCAAUGCAGGAAUAUGUACCAUGUCCAUGGCAUGGAGGAAGAUAAGACAUGUCUUAUCUCAUCUACAGGUUAUAUGCUUUCAGGAAAUAUAUCGUUUAAGGUGUUUAAUUUGUUUUCCUUGCACUGUAUAUGCCAAAAUGUAUCCACUUUACACUAGAUUGGCCUAUAGAGAACAGAGUAUGUAUUAUGCAGUCUGUGGGGGAAGAUGGGACACAAGUUGAUUGAUGUUAUAUUUCAUGUACAGGGUAUAUGCUCUUAGAAUAUGUAUAGUUCUGGCUGUUCUAUGACUUUAGUGAACCAUGACCCAUGCAUAGGCAUGCAUUGUAUAUUAGUGAACCACGACCCAUGCAUAGGCAUGCAUUGUAUAUUUGUGUACAUCAAAUACAUGUUGGCAUCUAUCAUUAGGGGGGAGCUAAUUAAACUUAAUCUUAAACUAUAUUUAUUAGUAUAUCAGAAAUAAUUACUACAUCCUUAUUCAUCGUCAUCCUCCGACUCCUCUGAAAAGAACUUGUGCGGAUUGUCACAUUGUUCAUGUUGACAUGUUCCACAGGCAGCAGUGCAGGCUAAUCCAUAUAUUCUACAAUGCACACAGGCUGCAGUGCAGGCUAAUCCAUAUCUUCUACAGUGCAGGCUAAUCCAUAUAUUCUACAAUGCACACAGGCUGCAGUGCAGGCUAAUCCAUAUCUUCUACAGUGCAGGCUAAUCCAUAUCUUCUACAGUGCAGGCUAAUCCAUAUAUUCUACAAUGCACACAGGCUGCAGUGCAGGCUAAUCCAUAUGUUCUACAGUACACUGCACGCAGGCAGCAGUGCAGGCUAAUCCAUAUCUUCUACAGUGCAGGCUAAUCCAUAUCUUCUACAAUGCACACAGGCAGCAGUGCAGGCUAAUCCAUAUGUUCUACAGUACACUGCACGCAGGCAGCAGUGCAGGCUAAUCCAUAUCUUCUACAGUGCAGGCUAAUCCAUAUCUUCUACAACGCACACAGGCAGCAGUGCAGGCUAAUCCAUAUAUUCUACAGUACAAUGCACACAGGCAGCAGUGCAGGCUAAUCCAUAUCUUCUACAGUACAACGCACACAGGCAGCAGUGCAGGCUAAUCCAUAUCUUGGAAGUAGUGAAGGCAUCGGCGCAUCACUCUAGCAUAGGAUCUCCCUUACAAGCUUCUGGAAUGCUGUCUUUUUGCUGACACAAAGAUCCUAGCGAUUAAAGUUGACAUGAUAUUUCAGCUUUAUUCUCAAAAUGUCGAGUUUAAUGUUGACUUUAUGUCGACGAAAAGCUUCUGGUGUCCAUCUUGGACGCCAUCUUGAAAAUGACCCCAUUACUGGGGUCAGAUUUUACCAGAUUUUUAAAAUGCAAUUAAGUACAUCUAAAGGUAUCAUAAUCAGUUGAAAACCCUUUUGUAUAAUUUGUUUUGAGGUUAGGUGUUUUUUUUUCAUAUAUUGAGCCACCUACUAUGCCAGUAUUUGUGUAUGAAGAUGUUUGUUUGUAAUAUUCAGUAUAAAUGUAAUGAACAACACUAAGACGUCAGUGACAGACUGACAACAUGAUCAACUUCAAUUGUUACUGUCAGUUUUCAUAUCAGAAUAAAUGUGAAAAUAAAAAGAAUUAAUGAUAA